rnacentral:rRNA from 1 species
GCCGCGUGUAGGAAGAAUGCCCUAUGGGUUGUAAACUACUUUUAUACAGGAAGAAACACUGGUAUGUAUACCAGCUUGACGGUACUGUAAGAAUAAGGACCGGCUAACUCCGUGCCAGCAGCCGCGGUAAUACGGAGGGUCCGAGCGUUAUCCGGAAUCAUUGGGUUUAAAGGGUCCGCAGGCGGUCGAUUAAGUCAGAGGUGAAAUCCCAUAGCUCAACUAUGGAACUGCCUUUGAUACUGGUUGACUUGAGUCAUAUGGAAGUAGAUAGAAUGUGUAGUGUAGCGGUGAAAUGCAUAGAUAUUACACAGAAUACCGAUUGCGAAGGCAGUCUACUACGUAUGUACUGACGCUGAGGGACGAAAGCGUGGGGAGCGAACAGGAUUAGAUACCCUGGUAGUCCACGCCGUAAACGAUGGAUACUAGUUGUUGGGAUUUAUCUCAGUGACUAA